rnacentral:rRNA from 1 species
UGAACGCUGGCGGCGUACCUAAUACAUGCAAGUCGAGCGAACGGACGAGAAGCUUGCUUCUCUGAUGUUAGCGGCGGACGGGUGAGUAACACGUGGAUAACCUACCUAUAAGACUGGGAUAACUUCGGGAAACCGGAGCUAAUACCGGAUAAUAUUUUGAACCGCAUGGUUCAAAAGUGAAAGACGGUCUUGCUGUCACUUAUAGAUGGAUCCGCGCUGCAUUAGCUAGUUGGUAAGGUAACGGCUUACCAAGGCAACGAUGCAUAGCCGACCUGAGAGGGUGAUCGGCCACACUGGAACUGAGACACGGUCCAGACUCCUACGGGAGGCAGCAGUAGGGAAUCUUCCGCAAUGGGCGAAAGCCUGACGGAGCAACGCCGCGUGAGUGAUGAAGGUCUUCGGAUCGUAAAACUCUGUUAUUAGGGAAGAACAUAUGUGUAAGUAACUGUGCACAUCUUGACGGUACCUAAUCAGAAAGCCACGGCUAACUACGUGCCAGCGGCCGCGGUAAUACGUAGGUGGCAAGCGUUAUCCGGAAUUAUUGGGCGUAAAGCGCGCGUAGGCGGUUUUUUAAGUCUGAUGUGAAAGCCCACGGCUCAACCGUGGAGGGUCAUUGGAAACUGGAAAACUUGAGUGCAGAAGAGGAAAGUGGAAUUCCAUGUGUAGCGGUGAAAUGCGCAGAGAUAUGGAGGAACACCAGUGGCGAAGGCGACUUUCUGGUCUGUAACUGACGCUGAUGUGCGAAAGCGUGGGGAUCAAACAGGAUUAGAUACCCUGGUAGUCCACGCCGUAAACGAUGAGUGCUAAGUGUUAGGGGGUUUCCGCCCCUUAGUGCUGCAGCUAACGCAUUAAGCACUCCGCCUGGGGAGUACGACCGCAAGGUUGAAACUCAAAGGAAUUGACGGGGACCCGCACAAGCGGUGGAGCAUGUGGUUUAAUUCGAAGCAACGCGAAGAACCUUACCAAAUCUUGACAUCCUUUGACAACUCUAGAGAUAGAGCCUUCCCCUUCGGGGGACAAAGUGACAGGUGGUGCAUGGUUGUCGUCAGCUCGUGUCGUGAGAUGUUGGGUUAAGUCCCGCAACGAGCGCAACCCUUAAGCUUAGUUGCCAUCAUUAAGUUGGGCACUCUAAGUUGACUGCCGGUGACAAACCGGAGGAAGGUGGGGAUGACGUCAAAUCAUCAUGCCCCUUAUGAUUUGGGCUACACACGUGCUACAAUGGACAAUACAAAGGGCAGCGAAACCGCGAGGUCAAGCAAAUCCCAUAAAGUUGUUCUCAGUUCGGAUUGUAGUCUGCAACUCGACUACAUGAAGCUGGAAUCGCUAGUAAUCGUAGAUCAGCAUGCUACGGUGAAUACGUUCCCGGGUCU